rnacentral:rRNA from 1 species
UACGUAGGGUGCAAGCGUUAAUCGGAAUUACUGGGCGUAAAGCGUGCGCAGGCGGCUUUGCAAGACAGAUGUGAAAUCCCCGGGCUUAACCUGGGAACUGCAUUUGUGACUGCAUGGCUGGAGUGCGGCAGAGGGGGAUGGAAUUCCGCGUGUAGCAGUGAAAUGCGUAGAUAUCGGGAGGAAUACCGAUGGCGAAGGCAGGUCUCUGGGCUAUAACUGACGCUCAUGCACGAAAAGCGUGGGGAGCAAACAGGG